rnacentral:rRNA from 1 species
GAGUUUGAUCUUGGCUCAGGAUGAACGCUAGCGGCAGGCCUAAUACAUGCAAGUCGAGGGGCAGCACGGGUAGCAAUACCUGGUGGCGACCGGCGCACGGGUGCGUAACACGUAUACAAUCUGCCUUUAACAGGGGGAUAGCCCGGAGAAAUCCGGAUUAAUACCCCAUAACAAUAGAAGAAGCAUUUCUUUUAUUUGAAAGCUCCGGCGGUUAAAGAUGAGUAUGCGUCUGAUUAGCUAGUUGGUGAGGUAACGGCUCACCAAGGCGACGAUCAGUAGGGGAUCUGAGAGGACUACCCCCCACACGGAUACUGAGACACGGAUCCGACUCCUACGGGAGGCAGCAGUAAGGAAUAUUGGACAAUGCCCGCAAGGGUGAUCCAGCCAUGCCGCGUGCAGGAAGACGGCCCUAUGGGUUGUAAACUGCUUUUGUACGGGAAGAAACACUCCUACGUGUAGG